GAGGAAUAUUGGUCAAUGGGUGCAAGCCUGAACCAGCCAUCCCGCGUGAAGGACGACUGCCCUAUGGGUUGUAAACUUCUUUUGUAUAGGGAUAAACCUACCCUCGUGAGGGUAGCUGAAGGUACUAUACGAAUAAGCACCGGCUAACUCCGUGCCAGCAGCCGCGGUAAUACGGAGGGUGCAAGCGUUAUCCGGAUUUAUUGGGUUUAAAGGGUCCGUAGGCGGACUUAUAAGUCAGUGGUGAAAGCCUGUCGCUUAACGAUAGAACUGCCAUUGAUACUGUAAGUCUUGAGUAUAUUUGAGGUAGCUGGAAUAAGUAGUGUAGCGGUGAAAUGCAUAGAUAUUACUUAGAACACCAAAUGCGAAGGCAGGUUACCAGGAUAUAACUGACGCUGAGGGACGAAAGCGUGGGGAGCGAACA
rnacentral:rRNA from 1 species